UGCUCAAAGUUUACUUUCACUUCCUGAACUUCGUGCAGUGGAGCUUGUUGUUGGUGUGAAGAAACUCUCCUUAGAUCACAUGACCUGGAUGACUGAACCUACAGACAUAUUGACCUGGUUUCAUGGUCACAUGACAGACUGACUGAAGAUGAUGAUGGAGGAAGAGGAGGACAGAGC